rnacentral:rRNA from 1 species
ACGGAAGGUGCAAGCGUUAUCCGGAAUCACUGGGUUUAAAGGGUGCGUAGGCGGUCUAAUAAGUCAGAGGUGAAAGGUAUGGGCUCAACCGAUGCACUGCCUUUGAUACUGUUAGACUAGAAUAAAGUUAAGGUAGGCGGAAUGUGACAUGUAGCGGUGAAAUGCAUAGAUAUGUCAUAGAACACCAAUUGCGAAGGCAGCUUACUGUGCUUUUAUUGACGCUGAGGCACGAAAGCGUGGGGAGCGAACAG